rnacentral:misc_RNA from 1 species
GUAGGUGAACCUGCGGAAGGAUCAUUAUCAUAACGUAUCCACGUAUAAACUAACUUUAAUUGAUGUGAAACGUAACUGUUUAACACCUUCGAUAGUUAAUUGAUUGCCAUACUUAUUGUGUUUGAUUAAAGCAUGCGAGUAUGGACUUGAUCACCUUCAUUGGUGAACUAGCAUUAACUGUUGGAGUGUAAUUAACCCAAUUUAAUCAUUUAUUUACCCAUUGAACCGAUUAACUAUUAUUAAUAGUUUU